UACGUAGGGAGCGAGCGUUAUCCGGAUUUAUUGGGUGUAAAGGGUGCGUAGACGGGUAAUUAAGUUAGUUGUGAAAUCCCAUGGCUCAACUGUGGAACUGCAACUAAAACUAAAUAUCUUGAGUACUGGAGAGGAAAGUGGAAUUCCUAGUGUAGCGGUGAAAUGCGUAGAUAUUAGGAGGAACACCAGUGGCGAAGGCGACUUUCUGGACAGAAACUGACGUUGAGGCACGAAAGUGUGGGGAGCAAACAGG
rnacentral:rRNA from 1 species